rnacentral:rRNA from 1 species
UGCUUAACACAUGCAAGUCGAACGAUGGAAGCCUAUAUUGCUGGGUGGAUUAGUGGCGAACGGGUGAGUAACACGUGAGUAACCUGCCCUUGACUCUGGGAUAAGCCUGGGAAACUGGGUCUAAUACCGGAUACGACCAUUGCCCGCAUGGGUUGGUGGUGGAAAGCUUUUGUGGUUUUGGAUGGACUCGCGGCCUAUCAGCUUGUUGGUGAGGUAAUGGCUCACCAAGGCGACGACGGGUAGCCGGCCUGAGAGGGUGACCGGCCACACUGGGACUGAGACACGGCCCAGACUCCUACGGGAGGCAGCAGUGGGGAAUAUUGCACAAUGGGCGAAAGCCUGAUGCAGCGACGCCGCGUGAGGGAUGACGGCCUUCGGGUUGUAAACCUCUUUCAGUAGGGAAGAAGCGAAAGUGACGGUACCUGCAGAAGAAGCGCCGGCUAACUACGUGCCAGCAGCCGCGGUAAUACGUAGGGCGCAAGCGUUAUCCGGAAUUAUUGGGCGUAAAGAGCUCGUAGGCGGUUUGUCGCGUCUGCUGUGAAAGGCCAGGGCUCAACCCUGGUUCUGCAGUGGGUACGGGCAGACUUGAGUGAUGUAGGGGAGACUGGAAUUCCUGGUGUAGCGGUGAAAUGCGCAGAUAUCAGGAGGAACACCGAUGGCGAAGGCAGGUCUCUGGGCAUUAACUGACGCUGAGGAGCGAAAGCAUGGGGAGCGAACAGGAUUAGAUACCCUGGUAGUCCAUGCCGUAAACGUUGGGCACUAGGUGUGGGGGACAUUCCACGUUUUCCGCGCCGUAGCUAACGCAUUAAGUGCCCCGCCUGG